rnacentral:tRNA from 1 species
GCCGGGGUGGCCGAGCGGCUAGGCGGCGGGCUGCAGACCCGCUCAACGUGGGUUCAAAUCCCACCCCCGGCU